CCACAUUUCCGCACAGGUCCUCUGCAGAUGGCAGAGCCCUUUCUCUAAAUGCAUGGCAUGAAAAGGCAUUUCAAAGGUUGGAAAGAGAGCUUCAGCAUUAAUCAUGAUGGGAUAGCGGAAACUGGCUUUGCAAGGGAUGGACUGGACUUCAGGGAAGAUGGACAGCCUGAGCUCACUUUCAGGAGAGCUCACUUUCAGGAGAUCAGUCAGGGCUGUCAUUCCAGGGCCUGGGUGGAGGGCUUCUGCUGUGCCAGGGAACAGGUGUCUGGACUCGGUCUCCCAGGGGAGAAGCAGGCCCCCCACAAAGGACAUAAAUCUCUACAGAUGAGGAUACCUCACUGGGCUUUUGUUUGUCAGCCAAAAAGGGAAAAACAUUUCAGCAGAGGCCUCAAAGGCAGAACAAAAUAGUGCAAGGAGCCGCACAUCCGCACAGUGCUGAGACCCUGCCCAGGACAAGCUUGACAAAAAAGAAGAAAAUUGGGUCUUGUUAUGUUGCCCAGGCUGGUCUCCAACUCCUGGCCUCAAGUGAUCCUCCCAGCUUGUCCUUCCAAAGUGUUGGGAUUAUAGGUGUGAGCCACUGUGCCUGGCCAUGUCUGAAUGUUGAAUGUUGACAGCUUCAGUGAAUUGACCCCUCUUUCACCUAUGGGACUUAUGAAGAGAGAAUCUUUCUGGCAUUGCAUAAUCCUUCCCAAGAGUACUUUAGCUGUGGUAACCCUUCUUGUUAUAAAACAUGCCAGCAGAUCCUGGCACCCAAGUGACAACCUGCAUUGAAAAGGCGGAACUUGGCUCUCCUGCCCUGCCAGCUGUAAGAGCUUGAAAGCAAAGCUAUGGGGGGAAUGUCUUUCAUUUCCCCCUGGAAGCUGGGAGGACGUUCAGCUUAGCAUUGCCAACUGUGUAAUGUGGACUUGCCUCUAAAAGAAGCCUUUUUCCUUGGAUGUCUUUCAGGCCGCAGUAUUCCCUUUGGCACCCCCACCCACCUGGAACAAAGCCUGAUGUAAAGUCUGGGUGCGACUCAGACCGGCCUGGGAAAGAAUUUAUUUAAUAAAUGGUGGAAAGUGGCUUCCUUGACGUGUCUUCGAUGGCUUUUUUAUAAAGCAUUUGGUUUGUCUACUCGUCUGUUUUUGCGCCAUCUCUUUCCACAAAGAUGGCUUAUAGCAGGGAUACUUACAACAAAAUGAUGCUGGGAAAACAAAAACAAAGAAGUAGAGAAUUAGGCCUGAGAAAACUAGGAGUAGAGAGUCACGAUUAGAUACAGAGGAGCAUAGAUGUGUAGUCUAGGAAGGCCAACUAAUUGUUAUAGCUGAAAUUCAAAUUCAGUUAGCUAAAAUGUUCCUAGUGUCAAAGGAAGAAUGGGCCACACAGUUGCAUAAUCCUUAGUAUUAGGGAGAAGGAAAAGGUUCCAGUUAUUCAGAGGGAUGUUCUCUUGCCUUAUUCCUUUAAUAAGUAUCUGUUAAAGGCCCACCAUGUGCCAAGCACCAUGCCCGGCAAGCACUGCACUCACCCCCCAGGAACUCAGUGUCUAAAGGAGACUGGGUGAAAGAACUAUAUUUGUGUGCCUAUGAUGUGUCAAAUACUAUGCAUUUAGUUAUGCAGUUACUGUAUGUUAGACACUAUGCAUUUAAUUAUUUACCUGCUGUAUAUCAGACACCAUGCAUUUUCAUUUAACCCUCAUAAGCACUUACAUCAAGUAGACACUGUUACCUCUUUUUUACAGAUGAGAAAACAGAGUCUCUUCCCGCAGCUGGUCAUCUGGCGUAACUUGCUCCUUUCCCACCCCAGGACUGUCAUCUCAGGGAGCCUGUUCUGGUGACUUCUGGAAAGGCCUGGACUCCUUUGUUCCAUGGAGUCAUCAGGUAACUACGAAGAGUCCUCAGUUUGCUUUUCCCCAGCGCCUUGUCGAGCUUCCUUGGGUGUCCCAGGUCUUGCUGUGUUCAGUGCGGCUUGGGUCAUACUUGGUCUUCUUGGGCAAUGACAAAGGUGGCUUUUAGUUAGGGAAGGAAGACAGCCUCAGAAGGGAGAAGCCUAUCAGUAUUUCAAGCCCCAGGCGAUGUGAAAAACUGAGCCUUUGUUUGGGAGUGUCAGCCCCCAGGACUUGCGUGUUUCUGCCCUGAAGCGUUUUCUGCUUUCUGAAGGCUGCAGUUCUCUUCCUCGUUUUAUUGACUGCCUACGUGCCAGGGGCUUUGUGAAUAUUACCGCACUGAAAUUCCCAAUACCCAGCAAGAAGGCAUUAUUAUCCUUAUUUUACAGAUGAGAAAAUAGAGAUUAAACAACUUACUUAACUGUUUGAACUCCGUGGGGCACAAACAUGAAAUGAUUCUAUUUUUUCUCCAGAUCUUUUUAGAGAUUUAUACCAAAUCUCCUUUUCAUAAUUCCAUAGCUUUUUGGUUGUUUUUAGGUAUUAAAAAACCCCUAUGGUCCAGUCCACUUUCUUUUCAAAGCCUCAAAUCUUGAAUCCGAUAUCAUAUCCACUGCCUGCGCUUCCCUCAGACCAGCCUGCCUCGAGCCAGGCACCUAUCGUGAGGGUGGGGUGGUCGGUCUUCAUCCCUCUCCUCCCUCUUUUGGUGCCUCUCUCUUCCUGUGCUUGGGGACUUGGGGAAGAGGAGGGAGUGCAAUGGGGAAGAUAAUCUUUUCGCUUCACUGGGCAUUUGAUCGUAGCCUCUUCUUUGCAGGUUUUGUGGGUUCUCUACUGCUGUUCUCAAGAUGGCAGGUGUUGGGCCGGGCGUGGUGGCUCACGCCUGUAACCCCAGCACUUUGGGAGGCG
rnacentral:lncRNA from 1 species